AUACUACUCACUCCGUCUCAUAUUAAGUGACUUUCUAUUACACGUAUCUAGAUUCUUUUUAGGCAUAGAUGCAUCCAUAUUUAGGCAAAUUUGAGUCACUUAAUAUGAGACGGAGGGAGUAUGAA
rnacentral:pre_miRNA from 1 species